CCUUUUCUAACCUGAACUCAAUGUGUUGCACAUUAUCUCUGGUGGUCCCAGGACCAUUUAAAGGAAUACAAAGAAGCCAUGAUAUUCCUCCCUUCUCCCAACAAAGGAUUUUGGAGAAUAAGCAAGGAGCAAUCAGCUGGGUGCUCAGGAAACCUUAAUGACUAGUUUGCCCAUGCUAGGCUCCUCCUCUGGCACCAGCCCUUAUACCUGGAAGCAAAGCCCUAGCACUAGGACCCUGCAGACAGGGGUCCUGAGCCUGCGCUCCACAGGGCUGCACCAUUUCACAACUUCUGCAGCAGCCUCAGCAGCUAACAAAGCUGCUGUCACUGGUACCAACACCUCUAUCAAUUCUGUCCUUCCCUGUCUGCUGACUGGCUAUCCUAAUGUGGAAUGUCCUUUUCUGUCCCCUUUCAAAUCAAGAGGAAACCUCUGAAUACAACUGGAAAAAAAUCUCUGCCAUGAAACCCACUUAGAGGAGGUAACCAUAGCAACCUGCAUUUGGAAGCAAUGGAGAAGAUGCUCCAGCAAGAAGAGACCUCGGCAUGAUACAAUGUGGUUUGAAGGGGAGACUCUCCAGCUUCCAUGGAAAUUUCUCUUAUCCCUAGGAAAACACAGAAGAAAUCUAGAGCUAAGAAGCUUCCAAAAGUGGUGAAGUCAGGCUACCACGUGAGACGCAGUUGUUAAGGUUGGAGGCUAGCACACAAGUCUCAUCUCACAAACUCCCCAACAUCUUGGCCCUCUGCUCCCUCCCAAUAGGCAGCCCUUGAUACACAAAUACGCCAAGCCAAACAUCAGACUCCUAAAAUACUUUAACCUAUAUCCCUUACACAUACCUGCCUUCCCACUGCCCAAGAGUCGCAGGUCUGAAUCCUGAUCACCCCUCACCCUUUCUACAAACCAAACUGGUUCUACAAACCAGUCUGAAGCAUUCCCACCUCCCACAAAGUCUAGGUAAGACCUUGACCACCUUCCAGCUCACUCAAAAUCAGGCCUGAACUCUAACCCCAACCCGCAAGUCUCAGGUUUCUACCCUGACACCGCCUCCUAGAAAGAGUUUGCUCUCGCUCUCGGUAGCUCUCUCCUGACUCCACCCCGCCCCAGACUUAUUAUACCUUGACACGCCUCCCACAAUUAUACCGGACCCCCAAAAACCAUACACACACCCCACCCUAGCCCUAGAGACCCUAAUCCUUUCGCCCCUUACUCCAAACAUACACUCCCCAGCCCCCGGAGAAUUGAAUAGGGCUGCUGAUGGGGUACCACCCCCGCCGCGCACUACUACCUGUCAGGGGCAGGCCUGCGGACUUCUCGGCUGGCCCCCAACGGCGGCCACCGCCCAAGACCCCUCCCAAGCCGGCCAGCCCCGCCCCAAACACCCGGGGAAAGCCGGCCGUGCUGCCCGCUUCUCCGCCUCGCCCCGCGCUAGAGCCUCGAGGCCCACGGCCCGUGACUUCGGCCAGGAACAAGGCUUGAAUUUCAUUCUACGCGAAGCCCAGAUUUAGGGAGGCUGCGUGCCUGAGAUUCAGUGGGGACCCUGCAACGCAGGAUCAGGCAGCAGAAGUCUGAGUGAGGAGGGCAGGCUCUCUGUGUAUGGUGCUAAGGAAUAAGGCUUUUGCCUGAGGCUACCUCUCGAGUCUCUGGAGCUUCUACUGUUUGCAGCCCUUCUCUGCUCUAUCUCCACGCCCAAGUUACUCAAGAUAGCCAACAUUCUCCGUGGAGUCAUACGUCACAUUCUUACUGUAAUUACCACUGUACAGUUCAGAAGAGUUGAGACUGAAGGGAGAAUCAGGUCUUUGGUGCAAUACUCGGGAGAAAAAUUCCCACAAUGAAAAGUCCACCUGAUUACUCUGGGGAGUCCCAUAAGAAGCUGCUUCAAGAGCCAGCCUACCUCCCCCAGUCUGUUCACUAUUGCUGGUGUUAAGAUUGAAAUAAAGGUAAACUGAGGCACAAAAUACCAA